CUACGCCUUUCGAACAAGAAAGUGAAUGAAAAAAUCUUCAAGUUCACUGACUAUUAUAUUAUAGACUUAGGCAAUGGAUACUUGUGGCAACACUGGCUAACUAAAUGCUGACAAACUGAUUAGGUAACAGUCAACUCACGCCAUGGCUCAAGAGUUUCGGGAAGGAGACUUGUAUCAUAUCGAGGAUCAUUCUGAAGUCACAUGCAAUAGUGGUUCAAUCAAAACAACUUCUCUGUGGUUUGGGAAUCUUGAGCUACUCACUGCCCUGUGGUCUGGUCUCACCACGGACUCCCUGACUGACUCACCGCUUCACAGACAUUAGGAGAUGAUUGUUAGAAGGGCAAAACUUCAGAGAAUAUCCCGGCGACCUGUGCUCCCAGUACAGUAAAGUGGAGAAGGAAGUAACAUCACCAGAAAGCAGCAAGCUGCCAGACCACCAAAGGACCCUGGAGCCACUGCAUGCUGUGACAAGGGCCUGGAUGGUGAUACAUCUGUUUCAAGCUGCCUGCCUGAAUACUGAGGCCUUCAGCGAUACCUUCCCUUUGAUUACAGAAAGAAUAUCUUAACCUCUGUCUCAUAGCCAUUUAACAUGUAAUGUAUGUAACCACUCAAAUUCAGAGAAACAUCUACAAACACAAGAACUGACUUAUAUUCACUUGUCCCUGGCUGCGUUUGGACAGGCAGCCCAAUUUGGAUAUUGUGACCAAUCACAGCAGAUCUUUUCACAUCAGCUAUUUUUCAGAGCUGAUGUCAUUGGUCAAAAGACCAUUUUGUGGGAAAAACUCAGACUUGGGCUGCCUAUUUUAACACAGCCUAUUUGUCCUAUUCUUCAGUCUUCUCUGGGAUAAAUAUUUUACACAAGCACACAUUUGUGAUGUCCUUCAUACAUUAAUAAACAUUUAUUCACCCUGAA
ensembl:lncRNA